GCGGGUGUGGUGAAACUGGUAGACGCGCCAGACUCAAACUCUGGUGUCCGCAAGGACGUGUCGGUUCGACUCCGACCACCCGCACCA
rnacentral:tRNA from 1 species